CUUCUGUUUAAAAUCUGGCUAAACUGAGCAGAGAAAAGCAACGCAGGAGAAAUGAAAUCAGCAAUGGAAGUAUCAACUUCAACCAAGAUCGAAACUGAAGCCAAGAAGGUCAGCACCAAACCCCCUUUCAGACCUGCUAAAGAUGACACCAAGCCACUCCUCCAAGACCCAAUAUUGAGGUCAGACCCCAUUGAGACUGAGGAAGCUGUGCUCAGAUUGCCCCCCUUUCCAGUCGCCAAACCCAAACCUUCAAUCGUUUGAUUUUUUAUUUUAUUUUUUAAUUUUAAUUUCCUGGUAAAUCGUUUGUAGUGGUUGACUGGUUGUGAUUCUUUAAUUCUAAUGAUUCACAAUCUAAGUUUUUCCUUUGCAUUGUGGUGCUUGUUUAAUUUUGAUUGGCUGCAGAUGUUUCUUUCUUUUGCAUUUUUCAAAAUUUUCCCCUUUCUUAUGAGACUUUUGCACAACUGGCUAAUACAAUUAUACAUUUUUAGCAUA